rnacentral:rRNA from 1 species
AUAUCAGUCAUGCAUAGCAUAUCAAUAAGCGGAGGAAAAGAAACUAACAAGGAUUCCCUUAGUAACGGCGAGUGAAGCGGGAAGAGCUCAAAUUUGAAAUCUUCAAGGUUUUACCUUGACGAAUUGUAGUUUAAAGAAGUGUUUUCUGUUGAAGUUUUGGUAAAAGUUCUUUGGAAUAGGACAUCAUAGAGGGUGAGAAUCCCGUAUUUGACCAUUACUUUCAGCUUUGUGAUACACUUUCAAGGAGUCGGAUUGUUUGGGAAUGCAGUCCAAAAUGGGUGGUAAAUUUCAUCUAAAGCUAAAUAUUGGCGAGAGACCGAUAGCGAACAAGUACCGUGAGGGAAAGAUGAAAAGAACUUUGAAAAGAGAGUUAAACAGUACGUGAAAUUGUCAAAAGGGAAGCGUUUGACACCAGUGUUGUUUUCUCGAAAAUCAAUUAAAAAGAGUUGGAUUUUGUGUUGUAUUGACUUUAUCAGCUUUCUUCACUCUUUUCCAGCUUUUUUUAAUGCACUUUUCGUUUAACAAGUUAACAUCAGUUUCUUUUGUUGUAAAAAGGUCAUUGGAAGGUGGCUUUCUCUUCGGAGAAAGUGUUUAUAGCCUUUGACUCAUGCAAUCGGAGAGACUGAGGUCUGCAGCGUAGAUCCUUCGGGGUUAGAUACAUUUGUGCUAAGUUAUAGCUUUUCAUAGACAACUUGUUGACUAUGUUAAGUCUUGUAGCUUACUCGCUUAUGCUAUUUUACCUACGCUUAGGAUGUUGAACUCUAUCACACACAG